GAAAAAUGUGACCAUUGAAUUUGAUAAAAUAUAAACAUGAUAAAUAACAUACGUGCAAUGCAACAGUACGUAAUAAAACAGGCGAACCAGGUUUUCUUUUACUGUAAAAAAAUAAACAUUAAAUGCAACAAUAAGCUUGUGAGUCUGUAAAAUUACGGGGAUUUGUUUUGGUAAAAAAAUAUAACAUUUUCCCGGCAACUUUGAUUAAGUUAGCCCCAUUUGUUCAAUAAAAUUUUCAAGCUAAAUUCGUCCCUUUGUGAAAAGGGUUUAUGGGUUCAAGAUACUCAAUGUUGUUUUCAAUCUCAAUCAAUAUUUCUAUAAUGUUUAUUUUCGAUGAUCACGUUUUGGCUUCAGUAGUAGUUUUUAAGUUUUGACCAACACCAAGUCUAGAUGUAUAGUGUCACAUUGUUACAUUUGUAUUACAAGUGCUUACAACUGUACCCACUGCAAACAGAUAUGUCGAAUUUCUUAUUCCGCAUUUCAGCAAAUACAUAAUAAGACUCGUGUUUAGGUUUUUUAACUCCCGCAAACAAAGUUUUGGGAGCAGGGCUAUUAAGGAAUUACCGUAUCCGUCUGUCUAUGCAAGAUUCGUGCCCCCAUUGUACGGACAAGUCAUCCAGAAGUAUUCAAACCGGUACGUGUUUUUUUUUUGGGGGGGGGGGGGGACCAAGGUACAUAUAUCAGAAAUGUGCAUUUUGCUUAUGGGGAUGAUAGGGGAUGAUACCGAAUAUAAGGGGCAAUGUAACACUCCGUGGCUUUCCUGCCACCGAUAUACAAACAUUCUGGAUUUGUCGCCCAACAAGACAUGUAAUAUAUGUCAUAUAACAUUAUUUAAUCAGUUUAAGGACAUAUUUUAUUCAUUACCAAAUGUCUUUAUUAACACAUAUUCAUAUCUUACAAAUCAAUGUAAAAUUGUGGAAUCAUUAGAUUUCGUGGUGGCUAAAGUUUCGUGGAAUUCGUUGGUACCUCUCAUCUUCGAAUUAACAUCCACCACGAAUUAAUAAAUUUAGGCAAUAAAAUCUUAUUUACUUUUGAAGGUAUAUGAGAAUACACGAAAUAUGUCUCCACGAACCUGUACAAUUUAAGCAAUCCACGAAAAUUGGCCCGCACGAGUUUUAAUGAUUCCAGAGUACCCACUUAUAUUUUUUUCAUAACGUCUUUCAAUUACUUUCAGAUGAGAACUGGAUGUAACUUGUUUAUUUUUUAUACAAUAGUGUUAAAUUAUAUUUUCAAUCAAUAAAUGUGUAAUAAA
rnacentral:misc_RNA from 1 species